rnacentral:lncRNA from 1 species
CUCUGAGUUAGAAUAAACUGUUAAGACUUAAAACUUACUUACUUUACCUACACCAUAGGACUUGUAACCGUCACUUCUGUCUUGAGUGGUUAAAAGAUAGAACAGUCUAGCCAAGUGCCAUGUCUCUUAUUCUUGAUCAGCUAUAGCUCUGGGGUUUUUGCAGAUUUUCAAAUAAAACUCAGAAAUUCCUUGUAUGAUUCUCUCAGGUCUCUCUUUUGUGGUAUUUUUGGAUCCUUACCAAGGCAGUGAUGGUAUAUGCCUUCUCUCAAGAUAUGUAGUAUUUGUGGUAUGAAGCAUAGUGACAUUGUCUUCUCUCUCACCCUACUCUAAUAAGGCUUUAAUAUCUGGAGCUCAAAGGUGAGAGAUAAAGUAUACAUACUUACAAGACAUUUAUUGCAUAGUCAAACCAUGGAUCCAAAGAAACAAAUCAAUAAGCCAAAUCAAGAUGUGCAUGUGUGGCGAAUGAAUGGUGUAUGGUGAUGAUGGUGAUAACAAUGGUGAAAGUCUAAUUCUACUUUUGCUCUUUUGAGGGGAUACAUACCUUUCUUGCACUUUGAAGCUUUUUGAGGAUAAUGAGAUGCUCUAUAUUUUCUUUUUCUUUCCUCUCAGGUGGGUAUCUUGUACCCCUAAUUCUACUGUCGGACACUUGUCCAUUUUUACCUUUCGUCUCACUUUUUUUCUUUUUCUUCGAGGUUUCGGGCACUUGCCCCUUUUUAUUUCCUCGUAUUCAUUUUUUUUCUCUCUCUCUCUUUUUUUUUAGAGCACUCAUCUCCUGAAAUAAUGUAGCAAGUGGUAGUAACUAAAAUAACUGGAGCAUUUAUUUCACAGGGAAUAACAGGGAUAGGAAAAUGUUUUUGGCUAUUCUCUCCCGGAUUAGGAGUAGAAUACUUUUGGGUGGUUUUGGAGAUGGAAAUGAAUGGAUAGUACUUCGGAGUAGAAGUAGCAUGUAUGAGUGAACGUGCAAGUGAAUCUUGAUUUAACCACAUGACAAGCUCCUAAGGGUCUACACAGCUUGACCACACUCAAUGCUCAUAAGCAGUAAAAAGUAAAUAUGUGGCUCAAGGUCUAGCAAGCAUGUAAAUAUGGAUGUGGUAGGAAUUUAAACUCUCAUCAUAGAGGAACUCAUCAUGCAACAUUUUAAAGAUUUUCAAAGAUAAAAUUCUCCAGAAUUCUAGCAUCUCUAGGAACAGAUAAACAGCAGGUCAACCUUCCCAUAUCGUAUCCGUUAACAACUUGGACUUCAGAUCAAGUUUUCAUCCCACAAGUUUAGGUCUAGAGCAAGCCUUAAAUUAUAACAGUUAUAUCUAAACUUGAGAGAGAACUUCAAAUUUGCAAAUUAGGCAGAGCAACUAUUCAUCAUAUCCAUGCUUAAGUUUUAUUAGAUACAGAUUAGCAUAGCCACUUUAUUUAUUUAUUAAACACACUAAGCAAAAUAUAUAUAAGCAUAAAAUCUUUAUUUGGUUUUUCAUAGUUAUGUGUAUUUAUAUUCUAAUAUAGUAUAAGUAUAAAGAUAGAUAGAUAGAAAUACUUAUCGAGAUAAAUGGGGGUGCUCUCCCCCAAGCUGAAUUUUGACGUAAUUUCUCUUGAUGUAGCUAGCAGGUGGUAGAGGUGUUUUUGAAAGUCAGCAGCAUUCUGACAGCGAUUAGAAUGUCCUCCGUCUGCUAGUCUUCUUGAUUCUUAAAUUCUGUGGAGCUCAAAUAGACAACAAAGCUUGUGGAACUGAUUAAGUGUUAGCAUAAAUAUCUAGCCUUUAUCAUCUUGAGACUCCUUAAUAAUUAUUACUCCCUAUUUUUUAUAUUUUCAUUUUAUAAAGCAGAAAAAUAUUUAUUUUAUUUUUAUGCCACCACAGUGAAUGUACUUAUGGGUUUUAUGCCACUCGUAUACUCACAUGGGGCUUACUGUUUUUCACAUUUUUAUUUUCUUUUAUUUUUAAGAUAGUAUGAAUAUGAUUAACUAAGUAAACUAUUUAAAAUAAUUGAAAGGGAAAGGAUAACUACCAAGUUUACCUCUUGGCAAGGCGUUCGGUAUUUUUAAGUCCUCAGAACGGGACUCUCCGUUUUCUUAGUCGUCCUGGGAUUUGCUGGGUGGCGUAGUCGGUGGUUCCGGCGGCACCUCCUCUUCGUGUAUAACUAUUUUCUCUUUCCACACCUGACUCGGUGCUACGGUCUCCUCAGGACAGUUCUGUUCAAGUUGUAUGUCUUCAGUCCUUAUCACUUCUCCUUCGUAGUCUACCCAUCCGUCCGAUUUGCCUCCUCUGGUUGCGGUUUGUCUUCUUCUUGUCCUGACCUGCUUAGAAUCUUCAACUAUAUAGUUAGAAUCAUUAAAGUAGUGGCGUACCUUCUCAGAGGGGAAGUGCAUGUGGACUUCUCCGGUUCCAAUAUAGAUAAUGGCUUUGAUAGUGCUGAGGAACGGUCUUCCAAGGAUGGUGGAUGGAUCAUACUCGUCUUCUCCCAUGUCAAUGACCUGAAAGUUGUUUGAAGCUGAAUGUAUCUUGGUUGUAGGGGCAUGGUUCUAUGCAGGAGCUGAUAAGUGACUGCGGCCAUUAUGUUGUCGUCAGAUCCAGUGUCGUAGAGUGUCUUCUAAAAAGAGUAUCCAUUGUUUGUGCAUUCGAUUCUUGGAACACCAGGGUCAUCCUUCUUGAUCAAGAAAGGUGACUUGAGUCGACGAUCUUGACCUCCUUGAGCUGCAGUGACCAUCUUAGCUGACUCGGUCCACAUUUGCUUGUUCCUGUUCCUCCUGUUGGUCCUCUUCCUUAGUUUAUGUCGGGAUUGCUCUGAAGCUUGUGUAGUCUUGUUCUUGAAGGAAAGUCUCCUUCUUCCCCUUGAUGUAGAGACUGAUCUUGGCAGCAUUAGCGUAGAUGACAGCUCUGGCGUUUAGGAAUGGCCUCCCUAAGAUGAUGGGUGCCCUCUCCUAAGUACCAAUCUCUAUCACCACGAAGUUUGCUGGAGCGUACAAGGUACCAACUCGGACACAGAGGUUCUUCAAUAUUUCCUUUGGGAAACUAAGUGUCUGAUCUCCAUUGUGUUUGUGCUCGUAGAUCCCGGUUCUUUACUUGAUGGAAUCUGGUAGUUGUAAAACGCCUUCAUGUUUCUCAAAAUGUGUCCUGCUCAUAGAGACAAGGCAGAGAUCAAGUGCAUGGGCUCUGUUGGUGGAAAACACCAACAGAACCAAAAGUGUAUUUGUUCUUCUCUAACCUUAAGCAUAGUGAGUAAGACAAAGUUGAUGGAUCAUGAGUGUAGCAUUUAAAACAUGUGUUAGAUCAGAUGGCUCAACCUAAUGGAAAGAUAAUCUAUCUAUUUUUAUGUUUUGUUUAUAUCUUCCAAAGAUUGAAUGUGUAAUACUUUAGCUUAUAUGAUUAGGAGUGUGGGAUCACGAAGGUAGUACUAAGAACAAAGAUUAAAGGACUAAACAUGUUGAAUUAAUUGGGUUGAUUAAUUUGGAGCUACAAAUCAUACAUGUUUGUCUCUUUAUUUUAUAUGAACGCUAGAACCAAGGAGAAGCUUAUAAAAGUGAUAGUCAAGUACCUUAAAAUGUUACCUUACUUGAAGAGUGACGGUACAGUAUCACCUUGUGGAAGCUUUCCUUGCAUCGUGUUUGUGGCACCCUCCAUGGAUCAUCUCUUUAUGAUGAAUGAGCUAUGUCCUUCUUGUGCAAAUUGUUAAACUUCAUAUGUCUCCUUUAUCUCCAAUGAGUUUGUAUCUCAGGACUUCCCAGGUUGAUAUUGAAAGUUUUCCUGCAGGGGUUAGUCCAACAAAAUAUCCCAUAUCUACUAUAGCAUACUAUCGGCUCAAAAAUCAACCUAGACACCAUGUCUAAUUUGAUUUAGGAGGGCAUUUUAACCUAAGCACCAUGCUUAAUUUAAAAAUCCUUUGGAAGUAAGAUCAUCAUUCCUAAACUAAGCACCAUGCUUGAUUUAAGAGAUAAAUGAAACUACUCCAAACCUAGACAUAUACUAAAGCAAAUAAAGGUAGCAUGAGAGCAUUUAUAGCGAUCUACUCAAAUGGAGGUGAAGUAGUGUAAUUAGUACUUAACAAAUUGAGCAUGUCUCAAAGGUAAGGACAACCAACAUAGCAACAUGGCAAAUGAUGUUUUUAUGUAAAGUACUCCCCCAAGCUUGAAUUUUGCAAAAUUCAAGAUUGGAUGAAUUUAAUUCAAUGUUGCAUGAUGAUUGGUUGGACAUACCUUGUGCUUGUCAUUCAUCCGAUCUUCUUGCUCCAAUCUUGGAAAGGUUAGUGACAAGAAUACCCGAAGGAAUAUUUCUACAAUUAUCUCAAUAUGCUCAAUACACAAGGCAAUGUUGCAAAUAAUUAGAAGUUCAUGUUACGAUAUGAUAAGUGCUUGUUUAAGGACGCUAAGCUUAUCCUUGGGAAACCAUCAAGUUAUGUUGGUGAAGUGGUUUCCCCUCCAACACCAACCUAUAUCAAGAUCAACUCAACGAGAUCUGCAAUAUUUAUUAUAGACAUAUGCAUCGACAACCGCUCUUUUAAAGUUGUUAUAAAUAGAAAGGAAGAGAGGGUUGGAGAUCUCAAAUGUGGUAAGGAUGGAGAGACCAAUUGAUUGGGGAGAUGUUUUAUAUGAGCAAGGACUUCGUAAGGUAUUUAUGAAAUAACUUCCAUGCUCACUGUUGUUUCUCUCAUUCUCAAACUCCAAGGAUGAUUCUUCAUGAAUGCUUAAAAUUCCUCUAGGAUUGUCUCUCAAGUUUGUUUUAUCUAUCCAUUCAAUGGUGAUAGCACAUGGAUUUUUAAUGCCCUCUAGCCAUUGAUGUUGCUCUUCUUGAUCCUCCUUCUUAUGCAUGGGAUGUCUAGAGAGAUUCAUAGGAUUAUCGGAAGGUUUAAGAGAAAGAGCAUAGUAGAAUUUAUUAAGCUCAAGGAAGGUGUGGAUAGCCGAAUUAUGGGUUUGAAAUGUUUGGAAAUCGGCUAUUGAAACUUCCUUUCCUCGUCUGGGAGAUGAUUCCUUCUCUAUCUCUAAGAUUUUUCUAUGAAGACUAGUACAAGAAGGAUGCCCACGAAUGAAGACAUACCUUCCUUUACUAAUAGAUAAAGAAAGAAGGACUCUACCAAAGGUUAUAUGAUUAAGACCAAUGUGAAAAUAUCGAGAAAAAACAUGGUCUUGUAGGGCUAGGUCUAAACCAGAAUUUAUAGAAAGAUUAAAAGAUUCCCUAGGUGUAGCUAAAAGUGCAUUAUCUUCUUGAUUAAAAGAUAGGACCUCGGCUAUAGAAAAGGGUUGGUUUUGACCUAUUGCAAUCAACUCCGGACACAGAUCAUAAUUAGGGGCAGGACGUGUUGACUCCCAUGGUCUAUGGCUGGUCUCUGAAGGUGCAAAGAAUUUAAUAAUAGGUAUGGAAUUUGAGUUAUCCAUAAAGAUAAAAAUAAAAAUAUAAAAGAAUAAAAGUAUAAAAGUAUAAUACAAGAUAAUAGCAAGACUCAAAGUUAUCUCAGCAAACCGUCUUUCUCCCCGGCAACGGCGCCAGAAAUGCUUGUUGAUAUUUGGUAACGCAAUAAGGAAAUGAUCCACAAGCGCACGGAUAUCGGUGAGCAUUUCACCCGGGAGAUUAUCCAGAGUUAUCGUAUUUAUAUUUUUACCACUGGGAGAAAGGGUGCAUCUGACUAACCAAAUCUAUUGCUACUAUCCCUUUAGGCUACAAAGAAUGUCUCUCGAUGUGAGUGAUGUAUAGAGAAGACUGCAACCUUAGUCUCAUUCUAACCUUGGUAAGGAUGAUCUACUGUUCUAUUGGGGAGGCUCACAGAAUCUAGACAACACAAAGGAUGUUCGACCCGCACCUAUAACCCUACCCGUCCUGCUAACGAGAUGUGAUCUGCAAAGGUAACUCGGAAUUGUCACGUUCCUCGCUACUACCACGGUCCAGCUAGUCAGGGGAUAUCUAUGAGUACCCUAGCCUAAACACCACGUUUACGCUAACAAGUGAUUACUCUAAUACUCAACCGGAAGAGGAUUAAAGUAAACUCAUAAACCAAAGAACAAUAAAACAAGAACUUACUAGUAUUAGAAGUCGAAUUACUGAAGAAUCUUAGAAGCAAGCCUCGGGUUAGGAGACUUGAUCCCGUAGGUACAACUCGGAGUAGACACCGACAGGCCGGCCUUCCUCCGAUCCAUACCUCCACUCUAUCUCUCUCAAUCUAGUAGAAACUAGAAGAUCUAUUUCUACUUUACAUUGGUUGCUAAGCCUAAAAAGAAAUAUUAUUUAGAGAAGAGGUUUUCCUUCGAGGGCACCCCUCAAUCUCUAUGAUAAUUUCUUGUCUCCUCCAGGGGCCAGAGGGGGUCUCCUUAUAUAGUCCUCCCCUUCUAUGCGUUUUUGGGUCGAUAGGCGAGGUGGUACUAUGUUAUUCUGGAUCCAAUAGGUCGGUGGAACGUCGUGUGCGAAGAGAGUCCGGAACGGGGUCCAGAGGUGGGCGGGCGCCCUGGGCCUGGCCCCUUUCGGGCUCCGCUUCCUUCCCGUGGCUUCUGGAGUCUUCUAGAUGGUAGAAAAUUGCGCGGUGGGUUGAUAUCUCUAUGUAAUCCCGACAUGUGGGCCUUUCUUCCUUAUUUCCUGAUAACCCCCUGCAGAAAUAGACAAACACCAAAACUCGUGGAAUUCUGUCAGAUAAAACCCUAAGUCUAGAUGUUGAUUUCAUUUGGAUCCUUUUCUUUGUUUAUUUGAUAAUUAAAUUUGAUACUUAAGGACCGUCAACAACACCACAAAUUUUUAAUUCAUGUGACCUCUCUCAUGAACAUAGGAAACUAACCCUAAGUGGAGAAGGAAAAAUGAGAGUGGAGAGAGGGGUAAAGGAGAUGGGGGACUCCCCCUUCUUAUUUAUCAGUCAUAUUACUUAUUCCCUAUUUGUUCCUGAAUAUUUUAGAAUGAACAGCUAGACACAGGGGCAUUCUAGUCCAACUCAACAUAACCUAGAUCUAAUGGCCACUGUGGCCUUCGUGAGGUAGCUUAGCCUUGACGCCAACUCCUUAAUACCGCCACAUGUUGUUUGUUGCUCAGAACCACCGCCCAGGUUUUGAGGCCUAAACCCACGAAACCCGCCAUGAGUAGCAUACUCCAUAUGCUUCCCACGCCACUCGACACGUGUCAUCGCCGUCCUCGACUAGCCAACUUGCCAAGUCCAACUGAGCCUCGCUUGACUCGCACGUCCGCCGUCUUGACUUGGUCAACAUGGUCACUCCUAUAUACACUUGCACUUGUCGAUGCCUCAGGUGUCAGCCACCGCGGCUAGCCGGUCUAAUCAGUCUAAGCCUCACGUCUAUCCUUCACCGCUCUAGGUCCAUUGGCACAACACGUCUCUACUUGAUCUUCUCGCCGUCGACCACCACCUCUAAGCUCCACACUUGCACACCAAAAGUCAAGAGACAUGUCGCACGACCCAACUCAUGCCAAUGGUUAGUCACUAACUCAACCUAGGUCGUGGAUCACGUUGAUAAUCACUCAUCACAAAUUGGACCACAAGGGCACAUUUCAACCUUGUGUUUGCAAUCUCCCCCUUGAUGAGUGCAUUGUCAACACCAACACACGAACAACAUGAGCAAAAGAAAGAGAAGAAAAAGAAGAAGAAAAAAGAACAAGAAAGAAGAACUCACCUAAAUGACAAAAAGCUGGAGAAAAGCCAAAACAUGGUCAUUUGAAGUGAGUCAUACUUGGCAAAACUUGGUCCCCACAUGGGCAACAACUUGACACAACCAAGUAAAACACAACUAUAACCCUUAAGAAGAGGCAAAUAGGCUUAACACCACUAGCAAAGCAACUCAAAAUGCAAUGCAACUCCCUUAAACAAAUGCAAUCUCUCUCAAAUAAAUGAAUGUCUCUCUUUUUAUGUGUAAUUUUCUCCCUCUUGUUGACACAUGCACUUAUCAGGAUUUUCCUAAGGAGUGCAACUCCCCUCAAAAUAUGCUAUGAAUGCAAGGAAUUUAGAAAUGUUGAAGCUUUAGGAGUAUAGCAAUUAGAUUGAAAAGAUGCUCUAGGUGGUGUUGUCAUGUGUGUAUAGCAAUAAGUCUAAGUUCUAGCAAAUCCUCAAACUGAUCGUGUAGCAGUGCAUGUGAAACGAAAUAUGGCAUUUAAGCAUUUUUGAUCAAUUUUAAGCAAUGUAAGAAGGAGUUCACAACUAAAAAUAGCACUUAGCAGGUAUAAGCAGGAAAUAAACCUAGUGCUAACAAGUGUAUACAAGGUGAACUACCCCAAGCAGCGUUCAUACAUCAUGUCAAACACUAAAUUUAGACUUGUGUUUUCAUCAAGUUUUCAUUUUAUUGAAGUUUGCAACAUAUCACAAGGUUUAUUCAAAAACAUGUGUGAGUGUGAGAGGUUAUCUGUACCAUCAAACCAACUUAUCAACCAUGCCAAGCCUAUAUAAGAGACAAUCGCAAGCUUAAGACAAUGAUCUCAGCAUCAACUACAAGGCUCAAGUUUAUCCAUAAGUGCAAUUGGAAGUAGUCUCAAUACCUUGACGUAGGACAGUACAGACCGAUCUCAACACAUCCUACACAUGCGAGUUACCAAUCUUAGCGGUGAACAGAUUUCAAGUUUCAAAGUUGUUAAUCAUGUUCACAAAUUUCAAAAUAUCUUAGCUUAUAACUUGCAUCAAGUGAUCAAAAAGAGCCUAAGCGACAAGCACCAUCAUGUACAUACAAGACAUAUCCCAAAAAGCAUAGUCUCAAUCUAACUGAUAUAACCAUGAAGCUCAAUAUGCUCUAAUGUACAUGAUGAGAUGAAAUGCAAUGCAAUACGAUAUAAAAGAUAAAACAAAAGCUAAACUAAAAGAAAACAAAACUAGAGUACAAAAAAACAAAAGUUCCCCUCAACUAAAAGGGAAAUAAACUCCAAGCUCCCCUAUCAAGCGAGCAAACUGGGCUUGGUCAAGGGGUUUGGUAAAGAAGUCUGCAAGCUAGUUUUGGGUACAUGGUGUAGGUCAAUAUCACCUUUCUCAUAGUGGUCACACAAGAAGUGCAAGUGGAUAUCUAUAUGCUUUAUUUUUGAGUGGAGGACUGGGUUUUUAGCAAUGCUUAUGGCACUAGUGCUAUCAUAAAGCAAAGGCACUCACCUAAAUUCUAACCCAAAGUCUCUCAAAGUAGCUAUCAUCCAAAGCAACUGUGAGCAACAAGCAGUAGCAUCAACAUACUCAGCUUCUGUGGUGGAUUGAGCAAUUGAGGACUUCUUGUAAGAGAACUAAGACAUAAGAGAAGUCCCAAGAAACUGGCAAGUCCCCGACGUGGACUUGCGCUCAACACGACAGCCGGCAUAAUCUGAUUGGAAUAGUUGCAAAGAGAAAGAGAGAAGAAAGCUGAAAACCAAAGACCAAACUUAGGUGUGAAAUGGAGGUACCUCAAGAUCCACUUGACGAUAUGAUGUGCACGGUGAAGACUAAAAGCGUGCGCACAAGGAGACAACAAACUGGAUGCUCUGUCUUAUCAUUGUCAGGUACAGCAACUCGAUCAUGCUUCAAUACUCCUUCUAGUCCAUAGCUUCUCCUUCCUCAUCCACAUCCAAAGCCACCGUGGUCGACAUGGGUGUCGAGAGAGGCUUGGCGUUGCCCAUAUCGAAUUUCUUGAGUACGUCCUUGGUGUAGUUGCCUUGGUGCACAAAUGUCCCUUCUUGAGUUUGUUUGAUUUGCAAACCAAGGAAGAACUUCAACUCGCCCAUCAUGCUCAUCUUAAACUUCCUGCUCAUAGUUUCUGCAAACUUGCCAACAAGUGUAUGAGAAGAGCCAUUGAAAGUGAUAUCAUCCACAUAUAUCUAAACCAAAAGAGUGUCAGUGCCUUGCUAGAGGAGAAAUGAAGUUUUAUUAAUAGAACCCAUCUUAAAACCAUUUGCGAGUAAGAAGGCUUUUAGACGCUCAUACUAGGCUCUCGGGGCUUGUUUUAGACCAUACAAGGCUUUGUGGAGUUUAUAGACAUGGUUAGGAAAUUUAGGAUUUUCAAAGCCAGUGGGUUGCCUCACAUAGACCUCUUCCUCUAUAUACCCAUUCAAGAAAGCACUUUUCACAUCCAUCUGAUACAACUUGAGCCCUUUUGAAGCUGCAAAGGCUAAAAGGAUCCUAAUAGCUUCCAUACGGGCAAUAGGGGCAAAGGUUUCCUCAUAGUCUAUACCUUCUUUCUGAAAAAACCCUAAGUCACCAACCUAACCUUGUUCCUCACUACCACCCCAUCUUCACUCUAUUUGCUCUUAAAACCCCACUUGGUACCUAUGGGAUGGCAAUCUGGUGGAGGUGGUUCUAAAACCCAAACUUGGUUUCUCUCAAAGUUCUCUAACUCCUCAUGCAUAGCAAUGACCCAAUCAGAAUUAGAUAGUGUGUGUCCAACAUCUCAAGGCUCAAAAGAAGCAACAAAAGCAGAAUGAGAAAAGUGUGAGAUGUGAUAUGACCUGGACCGCAUGAUUCACUGGUUGAUUUCACCAAUUAUAUUUUGAGGUCGUUGGUGAAGUUGAAUGUGUCGAGGUGCUUCCCUUGAAGAAGUUGCCUCCCCCUCAACUGUAGCUGGGACCUCCUCAGGAACAGCCGGUGUUGGAAGAGGAGGUUUGAAAGGUCCUAAUAUGGCUAGAGGGGGGUGAAUAGCCUAUUUAAAAAUUCUACAAACUCACUAGAGCAAGAGGUUAGUAAAUAACAAAGCAAACCUUUUUGCUCUAGCUCUAAUGGGGUGUUUGCAAGCCACCUAUCCAACAAUUCUAGUUGAUAUAAUCACUAGGAACACAAGAGCUAAGUCACUACUUACACUAGAAAGCUACCUAAAGUUUCUAUACAAGUAAGUAAGCUACUCUAGUUUGCGGGAAUGUAAAAGAGAUGGUUUUAACUUUAUACCGCCGCGUAGAGGGGAUGAACCAAUCAAUAAUAUGAAGUCCAAUCACGGGAGAAAUCCAAUGAACAAUCACAAUGGAGACACACAAUUUUUCUCCCGAGGUUCACGUGCUUGCCGGCACGCUACGUCCCCGUUGUGUCGACCAACACUUGGUGGUUCGGUGGCUAAGAGGUGUAGCACGAACCUCGUCCUCACUAGGACACCACAAGAACCUACCCACAAGUGAGGUAGCUCAAUGACACGAGCAAUCCACUAAUGUUGCCUUUGGCUCUCCGCCGAGGUAGGCACAAACCUCUCACAAUCGCCGGGAGAUGGCCACGAACAAUCACCAACUCGUGCCAAUCCUCCUCCGCUGCUCCAAGCCGUCUAGGUGGCGGCAACCACCAAGAGUAACAAGAAAACCGCAGCUAGAACGAUCCCUAAGUGCCACUAGAUGCAAUCACUCAAGCAAAUGCACUUGGAAUCACUCCCAAUCUCACAAAGAUAUUUAAUCUAUGAAGGAGAUGAGUGGGAGGUGUUUGCUUAGGCUCACAAGGAUGUUAUGUAUGCUAGAAUGCCAAGAGUGUAAGCCCCAAGCCGGCCAAACACGUAUUUAUAAGCCCCUCAAGCAAAUAGAGCCGUUGGCUCUUUCACUGGGCAAACUGCGGGGUCACCGGACGCUCUCAAAGGAGCACCGGACGCUCAACACCAGCGUCCGGUGCUCCAACGUCAGCCACGUGUCGCCUUUUGAAAAACUCGUGUCAGAGUCUAACGGUCACCUGCAGUGCACCGGACGCUGAGCAGGUGCUCACCAGACUCAUGCGCAGAGAGUUCUGCAAACCUGCGGGUCAUCGGACGCAAGCCACCGGACGCACCGUGAGCGUCCGGUGCUCACCGGACUCACACCCAGAGAGGUUUGCAAAACACGCGGACACCGGACUCAGACCACCGGACGCUCUAGCUUGCGUCCAGUGCCUAGCGUCCGGUGCCUAACCCUAGCUGAGCUAGGCAGCCUGCACACCGGAAGCUCAGGCACAGCGUCCGGUGCCUCUGAGCCAGCGUCCGAUGAGUGUUCCUCAGCGAGAAACACUCCCGCGACUUCUCCAAAAAAAAUUCCCACCGGCGCAAUAAAAAAUAUGCACUUUAUUUUCUCAAAAGCGCCGAAUCCCGCCUCGCAAGAUCAGCGGGAGGGAGAGAGGAACCCAUCCUCUCUCUAACCUUCAAACUCCACCUCCUUCUCAAAGCGUGCCAACACCACAAAGUGUAAACCAACAUGUGCACGUGUGUUAGCAAUUUCACAAACAUUUUCUUCGAAGGAGUUAAGUUAGCUUACUAGGUUCUAAAUGCAUGCACAUGAACAAUAACACCUAGUGGCACUUGAUAACCGCUUAGCCAAAGAAUUCCCCCCUUUAUAGUACGGCUAUCUAUCCUAAAUGUGAUCACACCCUCUAUGGUGUCUUGAUCACCAAAACCAAAACCCUAAGCAAUACCUUUGCCUUGAUCUCCAUAGGGUUUUGUUUUUUUCUUUCUUCUUUUCCAAGUUGAGCACUUGAUCAUCUUGUGGUCAUCACCAUGACCAUCUCUUGCUCCAUCACUUGGCAUGUUCCAACCUCAUUAAGUCUACACACACUUAGCAUAGAGGUUAGUACUAGGGUUUCAUCAAUUAUCCAAAACCAAACUAGGGCUUUCAAGGUUGCUCAAAUAGACCCCAAGUAGUGGAAGAAGAAGGAUCGGAGCCAUCAGCCGAAGUAGUCGUCGAAGACUCGAGAGGGGCAGGCGAUGGUGUCAGCUUGUGAUCACCCCAAUUAGCAUCUUCCACAUCAUCCUCGUCAAAGAUGCCCUCACCAAUCUCCUGAUCACCUGCACUUUCAAAGACAGGAGAAGAAUAAGGCAUGAUCUCAUUGAAUGUGACCUCAUAGGUCUCCAUGACUCAGUUAGUUUCAAGGUUAAGUACACGAUAUGAAUGUGAGUGAGAAGCAUAAUCUAGAAAAACACUGUCGGAGGACCUAGACUCAAAUUUGUCCAAAUUACCUUGCUUUAGGAUGAAACACUUGCAACCAAACACCCUAAAAUGGUUUACCUGGGGCAGACGUCCAAAACACAACUCAUAUGAAGUUUUCUUCAAGAAGGCUCAAAGGAAAAUACGAUUUGAAACAUGACAAGCAAUGUUGAUCGCUUCGGCCCAAAAUCUCCUAGGAGUCCUAUGCUCAUCGAGUAUCAUCCUGGCCAUCUCAACAAGGGUCUGAUUUUUGCACUCAACAACACCAUUUUGCUGGGGAAUAUAAGGAAAGGAAAACUAGUGCUCGAGACCUAAAGAAACAUAGAAGAUAUCAAACUAAGUGUUUUUCAUUCUAUGCCAUUGUCACUGCAUAUAGCUCUCAUGGCAUUCUUAGGCAACUUAGUCCGUAACCAAAGAAUCAAGUCUCAAACAUGAAAAAACACCUCAUCCUUACCCUCCAUGAAAAACAUCCAAGAGUAGCAAGAAAAGUCAUCCAUGAUCACUAUUGAUGGUAGUUAACUCCUAUAUUUAACUGUCAACAUAACUUUUAUAACUGCAAAGUGAUGCUCACCAACAUAGGUUUAGAGGUUUGAACUAACAAAUUCCACGAGUUUUGGUGCAUAUAUGUUUUGUAGGGGUUACACAGGAAAAGAGCUAAAGGUAAACUAAUCAUUGAAUAAAAGUACCUCAAAUGAUGAAGUGGAUUGCAGCAUUACAACGUGCUCAUUGAGACGAUCGAAAUCCAUAUAUCAUUUGCCCUAUUUGGAGCCUUGGAUGAAGGAAUAUGAAUUUCAUAAGAAAAUACACUUUUAUGGUGUCUAGAAGGUUCGAGAAGACACCAGAACGAACGGCAAGGCAAAUGGCCACAAGGGAUGGGCGCCCGCCCCACCCCCUUGGGCGGCCGCUCAGCCACAGCAGCCAAUCAGGCUCUGACUCGUGGAUUCCUGAUCCACCACCUUUGAGGAUUAAUCUUAAGCUCACGUUUAAGUCAGUUUGAUCCAAGGGCUGUGGUGCUUCCUAGGGGGCUAUAAAUAAAGACCCUGACCCCCUGGAGGAGAAUCAUUAUGAGUUGUAGAGGCAUCCCUCGAAUGGAUGACCUCUCUUCUCUAGAGAAUAAGGGCUAUACAUUCCAAUGUAGUAGAUUAGUUCUAGUCGUGAGUUACGGGAGUGGAGCUACGCUCCGGUUCUAGAGGAGUCUUCUAUAGAGUUUUGGUAUUUCUUCAUAUCUUUUCUUUGUAAGACUUAUGCUUUAAUAUACUAUCUUCUCUAUUUACUUUAUGCUUAUUUAUGAUUAGUGUAGUUGUUAUAUCUUGGCAUGGGAUCUUUGUUCGUAUUGAGUGCUCUAGUUAUUCAUGGUAAUUAGAGUAGUAAACGAUAGUGUAGACAUGGUGUCUAGGCUAUAGUUUACCUGAGGUUGCGCUCAAUCCCACGGAUAGUUGUGGUAGCCCUAGGGGUGAUAGCCCUAUCAGGCCUUUGUAAUCCACCACGUUCAGAUUGAUGUUUCGUAGAGCUUUUGGCAGCCUUCCCCCGACUACUUUCUUCCUAGCCUUCUUCGAGAGUCGGAAAGGACCUGCUGCUCCAAAGUGCCAUUGUGUGACUGCUAUAUCUUUUCAUAGUAUGUUAUCUUAGAACCUAAGUAAUAGAGAAGUACAAAGGAACUUUGAUCUUUCCCACUGUCCUCCCACUAUAACUAUCUAUACAUUAAUCAUUGAAUUCUCUUAUAUAUGCUUAAUUGAUUUAUCUUAUAGUAUAUCUUUUACCCCUGCUUUAGUUUAGUUGAUACUCUAAGUUAGUAGAUACAGGAUAGUGAAUUAUUAGAUUCUUAACCCUGCUUCCCUGUGGUAAAAUAUAAAUAACGAUACCUUGAAUACUCUCGGUAAAAUGCUACGAUGAUGUUCUGUGCGCUUGCGGAAUCUUUCAUAUUUCUUUUUGCACUAAUGAAUAUCAUUAAGCAUUUCUGGUGUUGUUGCUGGGGAUUAGGCUUUUUGUCUAUCUUUGGUGAUUGUGUUAAGAAAUGCCAACAAGCAUUUUUGGUUCCGUUGCCGGGGAAGCAAUUGACGUAAAGAUUCUGAUAAUGACUUGAUGUCUGCUAAUUUAGUGUACAACUAGCUUUAGUAGGAUUACCCCUUUGUUCUUUUGAGUGUGGAAUAGACAGGACAUUAGAUGUUGCUUCAACCUUGCAACAAGAUUCCACAAGAUUAAAGAACCCAGGGUGCUUGAACAUUCAAGAUCCAUCAUUCUAGAACUUGCCAUCUCACAGGUUUGUGUAUACACAUAUAUAUUAUUUAUUCUAACCAUGUGUAGAUUGGAGAAAAGGUAGUCAUUACAAGAAUGCAACCCCCAUCACAUGUGAUGCAUAUUUACGCUACGCUACUCAUCCUAGUUGUGCAUUAAGGUAAGUGUGAUCAAGGUGAGAUAGUCUUACUCAUGGGCUUUAAACCUUAUGAGUAGUUAUAUUUUUAUUUCCUUGCAUACACUACAUGUUUAGUUUGAAUCAUCCAUGCAUCCACUUCAUUUAGUUUUCUCAUCCACAUCAUGUUUAGUUCCUUGCAUGCAUACACUUCAUCUGCAUCUAAAAAUAUAAUAAUAUUUCUCACUACGAUCAUACUCUAUCAUCACUAUUUUUUAGAAUUUUAGGGACUUUGCCCCCGUCUAAUAACUUGAUGACAAUAGACAAGUCACACUUACAGCUCAGCAGGUAAGCCACUAGAACAAUUUAGAACCUAAAACUCUUCCACAAAAACUUCUCAACAGUCCUGAGAAAAACUAGAAAAGAACAAAACUGAAGGUCACCCAGCAACAGCAAGACUCCAACUUGAGCUAUCCAACGUCGCAGAUUUUUCCAGGUAGCAACAUGGGAAGGAUGAAUGGCGUCAAGGUUGCCAGUCUCCCACCAAGAAGGAUCUGGUCAUUUCCACGGAAUUCAGAGCACUUGAGAAGCUUCUUUCCUGAAUUGCGCCACCACAUUCAGCAAGACGUCCUUCUUCUCCGCUGGGCACAGGAUGACCCAGUUUUGUAGCAUCAACACCAUGCUGUGUAUAAGCAUAGCCAUGCUCUUCCACAUUUUCCUCUGAAAACACAUGUCAUUUCUGAGUUUCCAUAAACUCCAACAAACAGCCGAGGUACACAUAUUAAUGAUACAAUUUCGCUCAUUGCUUAACCAAAACUGACCAAUAUUAUCAAGAGAACCUCCUAACUGAGUACUUAGAAUCCCAGAAACAAUAUGCCACAAUUGCUUGGAUACCACACAAUCGAAAAACAGAUGGUAAAUAGUUUCCUGUUCAUUACAAAAGAGACACGUAGGGUCUUCUAUCUUCCUCCUUUUCAUAAGAUUGUCUAUAGUUAGUAAUUGUUGGGCAUUCUUAACGUCACUACCAAAAGUUGACUUAGUUUUCUAAUUCUGAUAACGGCGCCAAAAAUGGCAAACCUAUCCCUCAUGCCACUUAAGCCAAGUUGUCAUCCCUAGCAUGACAUGAAAGACGCGGUAUUGAAAUAUGCAAUUGCUCUUCUAAAUAAAUAAUAAAUGGGAUCUGCAAGCGCACAGAUUAAUACCGAUGUAGCAUUUUAACCGGGAAGUACUCCAGGUAUCGUUAUUUAUAUUUUUACAACUGGGAAGGGAUUAGUAAUCAUCAAUGUUGAUUAUAGAAUGGAAUAUAAGAUUGAGUAUCUAUCAUUGCAUGUAUAAUUGAGAACAAUUAUCUAUCUCUUACAGGGAUAAAUGUCACAUAAAGGAUAUAUAAGUGAUGAAUAGUGAUAAAGAUAAUUAAUCUGAUCAGCAUAACAUAGCCACAUAUAAAUAUGAUGAGCACCUCAAUUAGAUAUUCUAGCAAGUCAUUAGCAUGGUACUAGGAUGAACUACAAGAAUAUUUCCUAAGUUAUUCUUAACUAUACAGUCUAGCAUAUCAUAGUUAGUGUAAUUAUACUUAGUAAUCGUUGUGAGAUAGGACUACGCCCAUGCAUAGUGAUAUUAUCAAGGAAUAUGAGAAACAUCGCAAUCACUCCCCUGUAAUAAUGUUGCUCUGCCAGCCCAAUACACGAGAGGGGGACUAUAUAAGAAUCAAUGGAGCUGUCACUACCACAAACUACCCCGCGAUCUGGCAUAUAGGGUACAAUCGCAGAUAAAUAUGGUAUAGGCACCACGCCUACACAAUAUCUAUCAUUUACCCAUGGAUCCGAUGGAUAAACGCUAUACGAUCCUGAACAUGUAUAUAAUUCUAAUCUAACUAAGCCAAGUAUAUAACUAUGAUAAACUAAGAACAAUAUAAUUGCGAAUAUAAACAAGUAGAGCAAAGUCAUAAUCAAUAUAUUGAAGUAGAACAAAGUCAUAUUCAUAAUAUCGAAGAACAAAGAUGAACAAUUGAAGAACAAUAGAGAAUUACCAAGAAUCCUCUUGACAGAUCCGGAAUCCAAUCGAAGAUUGACUCCUUCUAGUUCUAAUCCUAUGUAGCUAUGCUAAUCUAGAGAUCUAAUUGAUGUGGUGGCUGGCUUCUUCUCCCUGAUGAAUAAUGAAUUAGGGUUGAGUGGUGCUCUCCUCCAGGGGCCAGGGGGUCUGGUUAUAUAGUCCUUCCAAGUGAAUGUGUGCCGUCGGAUCAAACCGACAUUGAUUAAACGAUUAUCCUUGAUCCUUUAGGUCGGUGGAGCAUGAUCCACGAGAUUGGCCGUGAUUGGUGGAAAGGCCAAGGCGGGUGCCUUGCCCCCGAGCCCGUCCAGUCUCCCAUUCGUUCCUGUGGCUUCUGGAUUCUUCUAGAUGUAAGAUAAUUGCGCGGCACGUUAAUAUCUCUAUGUAAACCCGACGUGUGGGCCUUUCUUCCAUAUUUUCUGAUAACCCCCUGCAGAAAUAGACAAACACCAAAACUCGUAGAAUUCGGUCAGAUAAAACCCUAAGUCUGGAUGUCGAUUGCAUUUGGAUCCUUUUCUUUGUUUAUUUGUUAAUUAAAUUUGAUACUUAAGGACCAUCAACAGUAAUCUACACAAAAAAUACUGAACCCUAGGUGGAAUCUUAAUGCUCCAAAUAGAAGAAACUAAAACAGGUUGAACCCCCCUAAAAUUAAUGAUUCUAUACAGCGAUUGGACACUGUACGUUCCAUUGGAAGAAAACUGCCAUAUCAAAGAAUCCUCAUCAUCACUAAAAGAAAUUGUAGAGGCUAUCUGACAAACCACUUCCCACAAAGCCAUCAUGUGCAAUUCCAUCCCACAAACUAGCUACUAACUUAUUUUUUUCAUUAACAAAUCUAUACAACUUCCAAUACUGAAUAGCAAGGCUAGAAUUACCUAUCCAAUUAUCUUCCCAGAACCUUACUCUCCUACCAUUACCAAUAUUCCAUUUAUAACCCAUCUUUGCAGCUUGCAGAGCCCACAUGAACCCUUUGAAGAAGGGUGAGGCCCCAACAGUUCUAGUUUGGAAAAUAUUGACAUUAUUAGUUUUAUUUUAUAUCUAUAGUCUAACACCUCUUUCCAAAGUUUGCCUUUAUCCUGCUCAUACCUCUUUAUCCAGGAAGCAAGGAGACAAAUAUUUAGAUCUCUCAAGUUGGGCAACCCAAGGCCCCCAAACUCUUUACUAACAGAAACAAGUUCCCAGUUAGCCAGAUGAUACUUAUGUGCUCCCUCUAGAUCAUUCCAAAGACAAUUACUCAUCUGGGUAUUCAGAAUCUUGAUAGCCCACUUAGGGAAUUUGAUGAAGGAUAAAAGGUAAAUUGGAAUGCUAGCCAAACAAGUCUUAACCAACAAAGCUCUAGCAGCCAGAGAUAAGAGCUUACCUCUCCAGCCAGCUAUCCUAAGGAGAAGUUUAUCUACUAAGGGUUGCAGAUCCUCUCUAGAUAGCUUAUCAUAAUGCAAAGGUACUCCCAAAUAUUUCAAUGGAAAAGCCCUAACUAAGUAAUUAAAGAUGCUAGCAAUCUCCCUAGUCUCCUCUGUUUCUAUGUUCAAAGUAAAAAUCUCACUUUUAUGAAAGUUCACCCUCAUGCCUGACAACUGUUCAAACCAAAUUAUAAUAUGUUUGAGGUUCCAAAGAUGAGUGGCAUCAGCACUAGAAAAAAGAAUGGUGUUGUCUGCAUAUUGCAGAGAUAGAAUGCCCCCAUCUCUAAAAUCUUGCAGAACCCCUUUAUCAUCACUAUUGAGUAAAUCUCUAUAAUGCUCUCAUGCUACCUUUGUUUACUAUAAUAUGCGUAGGCUUUUGAAGUCUUUUCAGACACCUUUUUAAAAUUAGGCAAGGUGCUUAGUUUAAAAUGUUGUUCUAACUUAAAUUAGACAAGGUGUCUAGUUUAAUUCUUGGACCAAAAGUUGUGCUGAUCUUACUUCUAAAAGGCUUUUAAAUUAAGCGUGGUGCUUAGGUUAAAAUGCCUUCUUCAAUCAAAUUAGACAUGGUGUCUAGGUUGAUUUUUGAGCUGAUAAUAUGCUAUAGUAGACAUUGGAAUAUUUUUGUUGGACUAACCCCUGCAGGAGAAUCUCAAAUACAAAUUGGGGAAGUCCUGAGAUGAACUCACACUGGAGAUGAAGAGAGACACAAUAAUUGUGCACAAGAGAGACACAACUAACUCGUAGCCAAGAAGAAAGAAGGGUGCCACAAAACAUGAUCCAUGAUCAAAGCACUUACUCCAUGGAGUUGCAUUCUCUUGUCAACCACUAAUUAUCAAGAAUCAAGAAAAGAUUGACAAGAGAAAAUCAUGCAAUGUUUUGCACUCUCACCUCUGAGGUUGAGAAGCGGAGACAUGAGGAAGAAGGUCAACUCCUCUAGAUGAUCCAACCAAGUUCUUCCUCAUCGCUCCAUACACUGGUUUGCAAUCUGUAAAUUCACUAUUGCUUUAUUCCUAUGAGUUUGAGUUGAUUCAUAAUGCCUAUAUUUAAGAAUCAAAACAUAACAUAGGAAAAUAAAAUCAAUCCUUUAGAAAUAAGUAAUUGUGAAUAAUAAAUGUGCUAUGCUAAGUAUGUUAAAACAUCUUCUUUUGUAGCAUAGAAAGUGACCCUUAGCUAUGUGUUACAACAAUGCCCUUGUCAUUAUUUGUAUACUCCUUCGAGUAUGUGUUGUCCACUAAUGAUUUGUAGGGAUAAAAUAAGAAGAAGAGCUAAAGGUCCAAGCACAAAUUAGAUGGAGAGCAAAUAAUGGCAUAAGGUAAGAAAGGAGUACAACCCCGCAAUAAUGUUGCUCUACCUGCCCAAUACACGAGAGGGGGACUAUAUAAGAAUCAAUGGAGUUGUCACUACCACGAACUACCCCGCGAUCUGACAUAUAGGGUACAAUCGCAGAUAAAUACGGUAUAGGCACCACGCCUACAUAAUAUCUAUCAUUUACCCAUGGAUCCGAUGGAUAAACACUAUACGAUCCUAAACAUGUAUAUAAUUCCAAUCUAACUAAGCCAAGUAUAUAACUAUAAUAAACUAAGGACAAUAUAAUUGUGAAUAUAAACAAGUAGAGCAAAGUCAUAAUCAAUAUAUUGAAGUAGAACAAAGUCAUAUUCAUAAUAUCGAAGAACAAAGAUGAACAAUUGAAGAACAAUAGAGAAUUACCAAGAAUCCUCUUGACAGAUCCAGAAACCAAUCGAAGAUUGACUCCUUCUAGUUCUAAUCCUAUGUAGCUAUGCUAAUCUAGAGAUCUAAUUGAUGUGGUGGCUCUAGGGCUUGAUCAGAGGCUUCUUCUCCCUGAUGAAUAAUGAAUUAGGGUUGAGUGGUGCUCUCCUCCAGGGGCCAGGGGGUCUGGUUAUAUAGUCCUUCCAAGUGAAUGUGGGUCGUCGGAUCAAACCGACAUUGAUUGAAUAAUUAUCCUUGAUCCUUUAGGUCGGUGGAGCAUGAUACGCAAGAUUGGCUGUGAUUGGUGGAAAGGCCAAGGCGGGCACCCUAGGGGGGAGGGCGGGCGCCCUGCCCCGAGCCCGUCCGGUCUCCCGUUCGUUCCCGUGGCUUCUGGAGUCUUUUAGAUGUAAGAUAAUUGCGCGGCACGUUAAUAUCUCUAUGUAAACCCGACGUGUGGGCCUUUCUUCCAUAUUUUCUGAUAACCCCCUGCAGAAAUAGACAAUCACCAAAACUCAUGGAAUUCUGUCAGAUAAAACCCUAAGUUUGGAUGUCGAUUGCAUUUGGAUCCUUUUCUUUGUUUAUUUGUUAAUUAAAUUUAAUACUUAAGGACCAUCAACAAACUCCCCCAAGCUUACCUCUUGCUCGUCCCUGAGCAAGGACAAUCUCAGCAAUGGAUCAAAAGUUGCUAUAAUGCCUUUUAAAAAUUGACAGUACACAUGCUUUUAAAUGAGGUCUCAUCUCUGAGUUAGAGUAAACUGUCAAGACUUAAAACUUACUUACUUUACCUUUUACCAUGGAACUUGUAACCGUCACUUCUAUCUUGAGUAGUUAAAAGACAGAACAGUCUAGUCAAGUGCCAUGUCUCUUAUUCUUGAUCAGCUAUAGCUCUAGAGUUUUUGCAGAUUUUCAAAUAAAACUCAGAGAUUCCUUGUAUGACUCUCUCAAAUUUCUCUUGUGGUAUUUCUGGAUCCUUACCAAGGCAGUUAUGGUAUAUGCCUUCUCUCAAAAUAUGUAAUAUUUGUGGUAUAAGGCAUAGUGACAUUGCCUUCUCUCUCUCACCCUACUCUAAUAAGGCUUUAAUAUCUCGAGCUCAUAGGUGGGAGAUAGAUAAUACAUACUUACAAGACAUUUAUUGCAUAGUCAAACCAUGGAUCCAGAAGAAUAAGUCAAUAAGUCAAAUCAAGAUGUGCAUGUGUGGCGAAUGAAUGGUGUAUGGUGAUGAUGGUGAUAACAAUGGUGAAAGUCUAAUUCUACUUUUGCUCUUUUAAGGGGAUACAUACCUUUCUUGCACUUUGAAGCUUUUUGAGGAGAAUGAGAUGCUCUAUAUUUUCUUUUUCUUCUUUUCUCUUAGGUGGGUAUCUUGUACCCCUAAUUCUACUGUCGGACACUUGUCCAUUUUUACCUCUCGUCUCACUUUUUCUUUUCUUCGAGGUUCCGGGCACUUGCCCCUUUUUAUUUCCUCGUAUCUUUUUUUUUCUUUUUUUAGAGCACUCAUCUCCUGAAAUAAUAUAGCAAGUGGCAGUAACCAAGAUAACUUGAGCAUUUAUUUCAUAGGGAAAAACAUAAAUGUUUUUGGCUAUUCUCUCCCGGAUUAGGAGUAGAAUACUUUUGGGUGGCUUUGGAGAUGGAAAUGGGUGGAUAUAUGUGGAUGCGUACUCCCAGAGUAGAAGCGGCAUGUGUGAGUGAAUGUGUAAGUGAAUCUUGAUUUAACCACAUGACAAGCUCCUAAGGGUCUACACAGCUUGACCACACUCAAUGCUCAUAAGCAGUAAAAAAUAAAUGUGUGGCUCAAAGUCUAGCAAGCAUGUAUAUAUGGCUGUGGUAGGAAUUUAAACUCUCAUCAUACAGGAACUCAUCAUGUAUUAUUUUAAAGAUUUUCAAAGGUAAAAUUCUCCAGAAUUCUAGCAUCUCUAGGAAUAGAUAAACAGCAGCUCAACCUUCUCAUAUCAUAUCCGUUAACAACCUAGACUUCAGAUCAAGUUUUAUUCCCACAAGUUUAGGUUUAGAGCAAGCUUUCAAUUAUAACAGUUAUGUCUAAACUUUAGAAAGAACUUCAAAUUUUAAAAAUUAGGCAAAGCAACUAUUCAUCAUAUCCAUGCUAGAGUUUUAUUAUUAAGAUUCAGUUUAGCAUAGCCACUUUAUUUAUUUAUUAAACAAACUAAGCAAAAGAUAUAUAUAUAUAUAAGAAAAUCUUUAUUUGGUUUUUCAUAGUUAUGUAUAUUUAUAUUUUAAUGUAGUAUAAGUAUAAAGAUAGAUAGAAAUACUUAGCGAGAUAAAUGGGGGUGCUCUCCCCUAAGCUGAAUUUUGACGUAAUUUCUUCUGAUGUAGCUAGCAGGUGGCAGAGGUGUAUUUGAAAGUCGGGAGUACCCUGACAACGAUUAGAAUGUCCUCCGUCUGCUAGUCUUCUUGAUCCUUAAAUUCUGUGGAGCUCAAAUAGACAACAAAGUUUUGUGGAACUGAUUAAGUGUUAGCAUAAAUAUCUAGCCUUUAUCAUGUUGAGCCUCCUCAAUAAAUAUUACUCUCUAUUUUUAUAUUUUCAUUUUAUAGAGCAGAAAAAAUAUUUAUUUUAUUUUUAUGCCACCACAGUGAAUGUACUUAUGGGUUUCAUGCCACUCGUAUACUUACAUGGGGCUUACUAUUUUUUAACAUUUUUAUUUUCUUUUUAGGAUAGUAUGAACAUGAUUAACUAAGCAAACUGUUUAAAAUAAUUGAAAGGAAAAGGAUAACUACCAAAUUUACCUCUUGGCAAGGCGUUCGGUGUUUUUAAGUCCUCCGAAUGGGACUCUCCAUUUUCUAGUUGUCUUGGGAUUCGUUGGGUGGCGUAGUCGGUGCUUCCGGCGACGCCUCUUCUUCGUGUAUAGUUAUCUUCUCUUUCCAUACCUGACUCGGUGCUACGGUCUCCUCUGGAUAAUUCUGUUCAAGCUGUAUGUCUUCUGACCUUACUACUUCUCCUUCAUAAUCUGCCCAUCUGUCCUUGAUGAUUUGCCUCUUCUGGUUGCGGUUGCGUCGUCUUCUUCUUGUCCUGACCUGCUUAGAGUCUUCAACGAUAUAAUUAGGGUCAGUAAAACAGCGGCGUACCUUCUCUGAGGGGAAGUGCAUGUGAACUUCUCUAGUUCCAAUGUAGAUGAUUCCUUUAAAGGUGCUGAGGAACGAUCUUCCAAGGAUGAUGGGUGGAUCGUAUUCGUCUUCUCCCAUAUCAAUAACCUAAAAGUCUG